rnacentral:rRNA from 1 species
UACAGAGGGGGCAAGCGUUAUUCGGAAUUAUCGGGCGUAAAGGGCGCGUAGGCGGCCAUUCAAGUGACGGGUGAAAGCCCUCGGCUUAACCGAGGAACUGCCUGUCAGACUGGAUGGCUUGAGACCGGGAGAGGUGAGUGGAAUUCCCAGUGUAGCGGUGAAAUGCGUAGAUAUUGGGAGGAACACCAGUGGCGAAGGCGGCUCACUGGACCGGAACUGACGCUGAGGCGCGAAAGCGUGGGGAGCAAACAGG